UUUUUUUUUUUUUUUUUUUUUUUUUUUUUUUUUUUUUUUUUUUCUGGGAAAUAUAUUUCAUCAGUGACG
rnacentral:ribozyme from 12 species